AGCAGCCGCGGUAAUUCCAGCUCCAAUAGCGUAUAUUAAAGUUGUUGCAGUUAAAAGCUCGUAGUUGAAUUUCGGGAUUGGCGCAUCGGUCGUGCCUUACGGGGUAUGAACUGGUGCAGUCAAUUUCUCACCUUCUGGAGAACCGCGAUGUCCUUAAUUGGGUGCCGCGGGGAACCAGGACCUUUACUUUGAAAAAUUAGAGUGUUUAAAGCAGGCAUUUUUGCUUGAAUACAUUAGCAUGGAAUAAUAAAAUAGGACGGCAUGGUUCUAUUUUGUUGGUUUCUAGGACCACCGUAAUGAUUAAUAGGGAUAGUUGGGGGCAUUAGUAUUCAAUUGUCAGAGGUGAAAUUCUUGGAUUUAUUGAAGACUAACUACUGCGAAAGCAUUUGCCAAGGAUGUUUUCAUUAAUCAAGAACGAAAGUUAGGGAUCGAAGACGAUCAGAUACCGUC
rnacentral:rRNA from 1 species